rnacentral:tRNA from 1 species
GGGGAUUUGGCUCAGUGGUAGAGCGCUUGCCUAGCAAGUGCAAGGCCCUGGGUUUGAUUCCCCA